rnacentral:rRNA from 1 species
AUUGAACGCCGGCGGCAUGCCUUACACAUGCAAGUCGAACGGCAGCGGGGGAGAAGCUUGCUUUUCCUGCCGGCGAGUGGCGAACGGGUGAGUAAUACAUCGGAACGUGCCCUGUAGUGGGGGAUAACUAGUCGAAAGAUUAGCUAAUACCGCAUACGACCUGAGGGUGAAAGUGGGGGACCGCAAGGCCUCAUGCUAUAGGAGCGGCUGAGGUCUGAUUAGCUAGUUGGUGGGGUAAAGGCCUACCAAGGCGACGAUCAGUAGCUGGUCGGAGAGGACGAUCAGCCACACUGGGACUGAGACACGGCCCAGACUCCUACGGGAGGCAGCAGUGGGGAAUUUUGGACAAUGGGCGAAAGCCUGAUCCAGCAAUGCCGCGUGUGUGAAGAAGGCCUUCGGGUUGUAAAGCACUUUUGUCCGGAAAGAAAUGGCUCUGGUUAAUACCUGGGGUCGAUGACGGUACCGGAAGAAUAAGGACCGGCUAACUACGUGCCAGCCGCCGCAGUAA